UAGUUUUUCGCUCGCCCCCUUAAGGCGCACGUGGAGGGAGCAGCAAGCAGUAGCGACCGUGUCAAUUUUUGAGUAGAGAGUUUGUAUUUUCUCUCCCCAUACCCUGAACCGCAAAUUUCGGAAGCACGUCAACCACCCCGGACUCGCAUUAAUUCCUUCAGGCGUUUGCAAGCGGCGUUAUAAUGACGCUUUUUGCGAUAGCCGUGCCAAUGAUGGGAUCGGCUACACGGCUGUUCGUUGCCUUUUAUUCGUCCGCUUCGGGACCAUUCGCUGGGCUCGUACUCCUUGCCAUCUCGUCUCCGUGGGUCAAAGCAAAGG